GCAGGAUAGUCUAGUAGUGAUUAGGUUGUUUGACUCUUAGUCGAAAGGUUCUGGGUUUGAACCCUAAAGUACCUGCA